rnacentral:sRNA from 1 species
AUUAUGUUAAUGGUUUAAGCCCAUUUGGCUGCAUAUCUUCUUCUUCUUUUUCUCCUUUUUCUUUGUUUCCUCUUAUUUAGAUUCGGUGUGGGAUACGGGCUUUGCCCUCCAUGCCCAAUUCGGCCUAAACACAAAUAGACCAAGUCAAGAAAGCUCAUAACAAAGAAGAACGGCCCAUCAGAACAACGGCCCAUCAGAAUGACUACUCGGCCCAUCACAGCUCUGCCCAUCACGGCUCGGCCCAGCCCGAUAAAUUCAGAAGGGCAAAAAGGAGAAAUCGCAAGAGAGACUAAGAGAACCCUAGAUCAGCUCCUUGCCAAUAGGAAGAGAUACUACUAAGAAGGGGGAUCCAGAACCUAAGUCACCACUCAGAGAAUUUAAGAGAGAAUUGCUGCCUAUCUCUUUAUCUCUUACUUUCUGGUUUUCCGUUCUGUAUUUUCAGGUUUUCCGACCAUUAAUAUCAGUUUUUCAACCUGUACUUUCGGUUCUAAGUUUCUGUACUUACGGUUUUCCAUUAUGUUAAUUACUGCCUUUCUGUUCGUCAUUAAUAAAGAAGCUACUCCGUUCUCUCCAAACUCCUUAGUUAUUUAUUGUUACAACUUCGGUACAAACAUUCACUUUUUUUUUUUUUUUGUAAUGAGCGAUCGUCGAUCGAUAUAAAACAGUUAGUUGAUCACAACGAUAGUGAUUAUGAU